GAUGAACGCUGGCGGCGUGCCUAAUACAUGCAAGUCGAGCGAACGGACGAGAAGCUUGCUUCUCUGAUGUUAGCGGCGGACGGGUGAGUAACACGUGGAUAACCUACCUAUAAGACUGGGAUAACUUCGGGAAACCGGAGCUAAUACCGGAUAAUAUUUUGAACUGCAUGGUUCAAAAGUAAAAGACGGUCUUGCUGUCACUUAUAGAUGGAUCCGCGCUGCAUUAGCUAGUUGGUAAGGUAACGGCUUACCAAGGCAACGAUGCAUAGCCGACCUGAGAGGGUGAUCGGCCACACUGGAACUGAGACACGGUCCAGACUCCUACGGGAGGCAGCAGUAGGGAAUCUUCCGCAAUGGGCGAAAGCCUGACGGAGCAACGCCGCGUGAGUGAUGAAGGUCUUCGGAUCGUAAAACUCUGUUAUUAGGGAAGAACAUAUGUGUAAGUAACUGUGCACAUCUUGACGGUACCUAAUCAGAAAGCCACGGCUAACUACGUG
rnacentral:rRNA from 1 species